rnacentral:rRNA from 1 species
UACGUAGGGGGCGAGCGUUGUCCGGAUUCAUUGGGCGUAAAGAGCUCGUAGGCGGUUCGGCAAGUCGGGUGUGAAAACUCCAGGCUCAACCUGGAGACGCCACCCGAUACUGCUGUGACUCGAGUCCGGUAGGGGACCACGGAAUUCCUGGUGUAGCGGUGAAAUGCGCAGAUAUCAGGAGGAACACCGGUGGCGAAGGCGGGUCGUCUGGGCCGGAACUGACGCUGAGGAGCGAAAGCGUGGGGAGCGAACAGGAUUAGAACCCGUACCGU